rnacentral:rRNA from 1 species
CAAUAGCGUAUAUUAAAGUUGUUGCAGUUAGAACGCUCGUAGUCGGAUUUCGGGGCGGGCCGACCGGUCUGCCGAUGGGUAUGCACUGGUCGGCGCGUCCUUCCUUCCGGAGACCGUUCCUACUCUUAACUGAGCGGGGGCGGGAGACGGAUCGUUUACUUUGAAAAAAUCAGAGUGUUUCAAGCAGGCAGCUCGCUCUUGCAUGGAUUAGCAUGGGAUAAUGAAAUAGGACUUUGGUGCUAUUUUGUUGGUUUCGAACACCGAAGUAAUGAUUAAAAGGGACAGUCAGGGGCACUCGUAUUCCGCCGAGAGAGGUGAAAUUCUCAGACCAGCGGAAGACGAACCACUGCGAAAGCAUUUGCCAGGGAUGUUUUCACUGA